rfam:Rhizobium etli 8C-3 Cont2519, whole genome shotgun sequence.
AUGAGCUGAAGCGCUGCACCCUCUUAAGCGGCUUCGGCCCGACGGGCAGCACUUCUCCUCCCAGGCUGUCGGUCACUAUCGAAGCCCGGCGCAUCUCUCCCCCCCCCCGCGCCGGGCUUCUGCC